GACGAACGCUGGCGGCGUGCCUAAUACAUGCAAGUCGAACGAGAGCGACCGGUGCUUGCACUGGUCAAUCUAGUGGCGAACGGGUGAGUAACACGUGGGUAACCUGCCCAUCAGAGGGGGAUAACAUCCGGAAACGGAUGCUAAAACCGCAUAGGUCUUCGAGCCGCAUGGCUUGAAGAGGAAAAGAGGCGCAAGCUUCUGCUGAUGGAUGGACCCGCGGUGCAUUAGCUAGUUGGUGAGGUAACGGCUCACCAAGGCCGUGAUGCAUAGCCGACCUGAGAGGGGGAUCGGCCACAUUGGGACUGAGACACGGCCCAAACUCCUACGGGAGGCAGCAGUAGGGAAUCUUCCGCAAUGGACGCAAGUCUGACGGAGCAACGCCGCGUGAGUGAAGAAGGUUUUCGGAUCGUAAAACUCUGUUGUUAGAGAAGAACAAGUGCUAGAGUAACUGUUAGCGCCUUGACGGUAUCUAACCAGAAAGCCACGGCUAACUACGU
rnacentral:rRNA from 1 species